CAGUUAACCCACGGUUCCCCGGUAAGGCCUUCAUUGUAAAUAAGAAUUUGUUCUUAACUGACUAGCCUAGUUAAAUCGCCUCUUGCACUGAAAUGCAGUGCAUUAGACUGCUGCCCCAAUGAUUUAUUUUAUUUAUGUAUCUAAAAACCCUACAAAAAAAGGCAAUUAAUUUCCCCAUAGGCUUUGUCCAACGAAUCAUGGCGGAUUUGUGCCUACAAAAAGAUAACAUUACUAACUCGCUUGAAAGUACACCGGAGGUACUUCAUAACCUUUCACCCCUAGCUCUGUUCCAAAGUGGCAUGAGGCUGGCAGCAACGUUUGUUUACACUAAAGACUACGGGAUCAUAUUUCGAUUUCUAUAAGGUGAAUCUCAUCAGUCGCUCAGUGUCAGAGAUGCCGUCCGCCUUAGGACCCUGCAGUCCUGCUGCUGCCCUUGCCGAAGCGCUGGAGAGCUCUGGUCGGAUCAUAGACCGACACCUUCAGGAAGACCGCUGCUUCCCUGACCUCUCAGAGCUUCUUAAUGUCCCCUGUCACAACAUGCCAUCUUUGUCUGGGGGGUCGGACAUGGACUACCCUCUUCAGGAACCUGGGCUGCUCAGUUUGCCAAACCUCCCUGAGCUCAGUGCAGUCCGCAGGCUUCCCCUACCACCUGAGCUGGUGGAGCAAUUCAGCCAUAUGCAGUGCAAUUGUAUGAUGGGAGUUUUUCCUGAAAUCUGUCGGGCGUGGCUCACGAUUGACAACGAUAUCAUGUGGAAUUAUGAGGAUGGCAUGUCUGGAGGGAUACAGUUGCUCCCAGACCCGCUGUACUCCAUCCCCACAGACAACACCUACCACCUGGCCAUCACCUCCACUGAUCUGGGACGCAUCUUCCUGGCAGGGAAAGAUGGCUGCCUAUAUGAGGUAGCAUACAAGGCCGAGGCAGGCUGGUCCAGCCAACGCUGCAGGAAGAUUAACCACUCCAAAAGCAGCCUGUCCUUCCUCGUCCCCUCUCUGCUCCAGUUCUCCUUCUCUGAGGAUGUGCAGAUUGCCAUUGACAACUCCCAUAACACUCUCUUCACCUGCUCAGAGAAGGGGGUUCUACAGGAGUUCUCCUCAUGGCAGCUUCUAAGACUGAGGACAGUGACAUCCUGUGGUGUAUCAACCACGACUCCUUCCCCUUUAAGAAACCCCUGAUGGAGGCACAGGUGGGAGCUGACAGUUAGGGUCAUACUAAGCAGUAUUACACCAGAUCCACACACACUUUGAUGUCAUGUCAAAACCGAGCUUACUUUGCGAUUAGGGUUGCAAAGGGUCGUAAACUUUCAGGUAAAUGUCCAUGGGAAGUUAUGCCAGGGAAUUUUACUUAAAUUCAUCAAAAAAGUCAGCUUAUAACAGUGAACUUUUUUGUGGGGUACGCAUAAGGCAAUUCUAGUUCUUGUGGCAUAUUUUGGUUAUACUAUCCCCAAUUCAAUGGAAUUGCAACCCUCUGCAUGCACAGUGCACUCUUCCAUCACAUGUGCAGUGCACUCUUCCAUCACAUGUAUAGCUGAUUCUCAAGAUCUUGCACACUAAUGAGAUGCUAUUGAGCCCACACUACUACACUGUCUGAGUCAAAGACUACAUGCUUUCUGGUAAGUUUUGAUUACAAUACUGUGUGGGGUGAAUAUAUUUUAUAUGACAUGAUUUAGUAAAUAGUAGCCUACAGCGAAGUCUAACUUAUCAACAAUUUCUGCUAGUUAGUUUUUGCUACCAUGUGGGUUUUAGCUUGCUUGAGUCUGCUAACUGAGGAAUGUUAGUAUACAUGUUUCAUUUUAAAACAUCUUACAAAGGAGUUGUUUAAUUUAACUGCUUAACUAUUUAUCUGUACAUGGAAUUGUUUGUUUUUGUUUGACUCUGUUUUUUUUCUAGUCUUUACAGGAAAGUGCUAUGAGCACUAUCUGAUGUGUGGAGACAUUUCACUGCAGCUAAUGUAGGAUGAAAAGCUGUGUACAUUUGCAAAUACUGUGCAAAUCAUAUGUGAAGAAUGCAACAAAGAUGCAGAAUCAACUGGCCAAGUGCAUAAAGUUCCCUCAGCAUUCACAACCAGCAACCUCUGUCAAAAGUCCCUCUAUUUCUAUUUGAGGUGAAAAUGAUGAAUCAGACACCUUAUUGAUAGCAACAGCUCAUGGUCCUCCUGGAAUCAGAAGUAUUUUUUGACUCAAUGGAGGAACGUAGUCAGAGAUGCUGAUGAAUGUCUUACUCGAGCUGUGUAUGCAACUGGUUCACCUCUGCUCACAAGCAAUGUGUAUUGGAAGAGAUUUCUGAAUGUUAUUCGCCCAUCAUAACCCCUCUUACAGACAUGCUUUAUCUACUAAUUUGCUGGAUGCAGAGUUCAAGUGAAGGUCAAGCAAAUCAUAGAGAAAGCGGUCUGUAUCGCAAUCAGCUCUGAUGGGUGGUCAAAUGUUUGUGGGCAAGGAAUAAUUAACUAAAUCUCCACCCCUCAACCAGUAUUCUACAAGAGCACAGACAUACCAGUUCUCUACAUUACAGAUGAGCUGAAGGCCGUCAUCAAUGAUCUUUGACCACAGAAGGUAUUUGCACUGGUGACAGACAAUGCUGCGACCAUGAAGGCUGCUUGGUCUAAAGUGGAGGAUUCCUACCCUCACAUCACACCCAUUAGCUAUGCUGUUAAUGCAUUGAAUCUGCUCCUCAAGGACAUCAUAGCACUGAAAACAAUGGAUACACUCUGCAAAAGAGCCAAGGAAAUGGUUAGGUAUGUGAAGGGUAAUCAAGUUAAAGCAGCAAUCUACCUCGCCAAGCAAAGUGAAGAAUAAGAGCACCACAUUGAAGCUGCCCAACAACACCUGUUGGUGUGGUGUCAUCAUGUUUGACGGCCUCCAGGAGGGGAAGGAGUCUCUCCAAGAAAUGGCCAUACCACACUCUGCCGACGUGGACAGCUCCAUCAAGAGGAUCCUCCUGGAUUAUGUAUUUUGGGAGUGAGUGAUGUCCAAUGUAGAUGGGCGCUAUGUGCCAUCGAGGAGGAGAAAGCACCUAACAUCUCUACCCCCCUGAAUAAGGACCAGGUUCCCCU